GUGGGGAAUCUUAGACAAUGGGCGCAAGCCUGAUCUAGCCAUGCCGCGUGAGCGAUGAAGGCCUUAGGGUUGUAAAGCUCUUUCGUGGGGGAAGAUAAUGACUGUACCCCAAGAAGAAGCCCCGGCUAACUCCGUGCCAGCAGCCGCGGUAAUACGGAGGGGGCUAGCGUUGUUCGGAAUUACUGGGCGUAAAGCGCACGUAGGCGGACUGGAAAGUCAGGGGUGAAAUCCCGGGGCUCAACCCCGGAACUGCCUUUGAGACUCCCAGUCUUGAGUUCGAGAGAGGUGAGUGGAAUUCCGAGUGUAGAGGUGAAAUUCGUAGAUAUUCGGAGGAACACCAGUGGCGAAGGCGGCUCACUGGCUCGAUACUGACGCUGAGGUGCGAAAGCGUGGGGAGCAAACAGGAUUAGAAACCCGAGUAGUCC
rnacentral:rRNA from 1 species